rnacentral:lncRNA from 1 species
GACUACAGGCGCCCGCCACCGCGCCCGGCUCAGUUUUUGUAUUUUUCAGUAGAGAUGGGGUUUCACUGUGUUAGCCAGGAUGGUCUCCAUCUCCUGACCUCGUGGUCCGCCCACCUCGGCCUCCCAGCGUGCUGGGAUUACAGACAUGAGCCACCGCGCCCGGCCGAUAAUCUUCUUCUGACAGAAGGAAGUGGUCCUCUCCAAUUCUUUGCUGAUGUCUUUGGCCAUCUCCUUGUAGAGGCUUCAAAUCCGCUGUGUGUGUUCACGUUUCUACACAUGCUGGGAAGUUUCUUCAUCUCUAAGCUGUGUGUUUCCACCUCAGUUUCAGAAAAACUGUGGCAAGACCAGGUGCAGUGGCUCAUGCCUAUAAUCCCAGCACUUUAAGAGGCCAAAGCAGAAGGAUCCCUUGAUUUUAGGAGUUUAAAACCAGCCUAGACAACAUAGGGAGACCCCAUCUCUACAAGAAAUUUAAAAAUCAGAUGGGUCUGGUGGUGCAUGCCUGUAGUCCCAGCUACUCAGGAGGCUGAGAUGGGUGGAUCACUUGAGUCCAGGAGGUUGAGGUUACAGUGGGCUGUGAUCAUGCCACUAAACUCCAGCCUUGGCAACAAAGCAAGACCCUGUCUCAAAAAAAAGUGGCAAAAUAUACAUUUUUUGUUUCCUGAAACAGAUUUGGAAUUGGACUGGAGCAUGGAAAAGAACAAAGAUAGAAGGAUGGCAGGAAAAGGGCUUUGAGAGUAUCCAUUUCACCCUGUGUGAAGGAACUUUUCUUUAUCAUGCAGACUAGACAAUUCUUCUUGAUUUAAACAAGAAAUGCUUCCUCCUUACCUGGCUAUGAAAAGGUCAGAAGACUGGAAGCACGGACACUGGAUUUGGGAGGCCAAAGGCUAAUUUUCCCUACCUUCGCUUUGUCCUCCAGAGAUCCACCACUUUUGCUCUGAGUGAGCCUCUCUUCUUUCUAGAACGAUUGUCAAAAUGUGCCCCACAGACUCUGAGGUCUCCGAGACCCUUUCAGAAGGAUCCUCAAGGUUAAGACUAUUUUUACAAGGAUACAAAUCCACGCUUGACUUUUUGACCUUUGCUAUGAUGGUAUAAAAGCACAGGUGGUUUUGCACUAUGGUGCUGAACCAGAAUCACGUGAACCGGAACAGUUGGCAGUCACUGUGUCACUGCACUCUCCACCACCACCAUGCACUUGCAGAAAAAAAGAAAAGAAAAAAUAAGAGUUUCACUCAAGAAUUUUUUUUUUUUUAAGACAGAGUCUCGCUCUGUCACCCGGGCUGGCUGCAACCUCCACCUCCCAGGUCCAAGUGAUUCUCCAACCUCAGCCUCCAAAGUAGCUGGGACUACAGGCAUGUGUCACCGCAUCUGGCUGAUUUUUGUAUUUUUAGUAGAGAUGUGGUUUUGUCACGUUGGCUAGGCUGGUCUCGAACUCCUGGCCUCAGGUGAUCCGCCCACCCCAGCCUCCCCAGGUGUUGGGAUUACAGGUGUGAGCCACCACACCUGGCCUCAAGAAUGCUCUUGAUGAAGCAGUAAAAACUUAUUUUUUACUAAUGGAAAACACAUCUUUUUAAUUUCUGUGUAAUAAAAUGGAAAGUACACUUAAAGAACUGGUCUGCACACAUACUGAAAUAUGGUGAUUGUUGUAAGGAGAUGCAAUUGUGUAUUUGAGUUGCAAGCUAAACUGUCCACUCUAUUCAUGAAUAUCACUUUUAUCUGAGAGAAUAACUGGCAAAUUAUUCUGAUUUGGGUAUUUGGCUGGUCCUUCCUCAAAAACUAAAUAAAGUGAGCCUGUCGCUUCCCCCCCAAAAUGGUGGGAAGAGACACGUAGCUCUUGGGAGAACGCAGUGAGCUGGCUCUAGCACACCAAUGAAUAUAAGCUUUUUGGCGUACUCACUAAUUUUGAAGCAUGUAAAAAGAACAAAUUUGAAAACAGGUGUCCUAAGACCACCAUCACCUUAACAACGUCAGAGUCCACUGAGGGGACAGAGUGUUGUGGCCUCAGUUCCAAAAGUACUUAAACCUCAAAUUCUAAUGUAGUUAGUAUAAACAUCCGAGAAUCUCUCCUCAAAUACUUAGGGGUAUUUGUUGCUGAUUAUAAAAUUUGAGGUUUCAAGUGAAAAUUUGAAUUUUAAAAAGUGUGUAUCCACCACUGUGAGUUUGAUAGUUUCCCAGUAAUUUUCUGAUGUGAUUUGUGGUGAUAUUAAGUAAUGUAAUUGUUGAAUAUUAUAUUUUGAAAUGUGUUAACAUUUUGAAGCAAUAUUUUCCAAGUGACCAAUGCAGGAUGUUACAAAAUCACACACGGCUAAAAGAUCUGUUCAAAGUGCAACGUAGGCCAAUGGAAUUUAAUGUAACCUUAGGAAAGUUUAUUAAUAUGGUUUCAUACCUGAAUUGCAACUAAGGAAUUAUACUUUGUUAAGUUUUGGCAUAGUAAAGAAAGAAUAUCUACAAUUAUCUGAAAUAGUCUUAAAUGCUCCUCCUUGUUUCUGUUACAUAUCUGUUAGGCCGGAUUUUCUUCACAUACUCUAUCAAAAUAUAUGCAAACAGAUUGAAUGCAGAAACAGAAGAAUCCAGCUCUAAUACUAAACCAGACAUUAAAGAGAUUUGCAAAUGUGAAACAAUGCCAUGCUAACUUUUUAAAAAAUAAUUACUUUUUGCAAGAAAAAAAUGCUGUUAAUGCCAAUAAGUAAAAUUAUUUUUAAAUGAAUUCUUUUAAAAUUUACUUUAAUUUCUAAUAUGGAAAUUAUUGAUAGAUAUAACCAGUAGAGUGUUGGUAAAUGUUUAACAAUCAGCACUCUGGGGGAGAGAAGGCCCUGAUUUGUAGUGUCUGCUGAUUCCCAUGGUGUAAAUACUCUCAUCACGCCCCAUCUCAAGCUACCAUUACUGAUGCGAUGAUGGGAAGGGACAUGUAGCUCUCGGGAGAACACAGUGAGCUGGCUCUAGCGCACCAAUGAAUAUAAGCUUUUUGGCAUACUCACUAAUUUUGGAGCAUGUAAAGAGAACAAAUUUGAAAACAGGUGUCCUAAGACCACCAUCACCUUACCAAUGUCAGACUCCACUGAGGGGACAGAGUGUUGUGGCCUCAGUUCCAAAAGUACUUAAACCUCAAAUUCUAAUGUACUUAAUAUAAACAUUCCAGAAUCUCUCCUCUGUUAUCUCUGCCAAGCUUCUGGCAAAGAAAGACAUUUGAAUCUUUCUAUUAUAACACUUUCUUAAAAGAAUUUUUUGUUUUGAAAGAGAGCACUUUUUGGGAAUUCUUUUAGGAAGGGCUCAAAGUUGAUUCCAAUUUGGGUUGUGGUUUCUAAGUGACUUGUGUAUAAACCAGUUAAACAGAGACUUGCCGCUUGAUGAUGGAAUGUUUUGAGUAGAGAAUGGAUCUGGGGUUAACAUCC